rnacentral:rRNA from 1 species
AAAUUGAAGAGUUUGAUCAUGGCUCAGAUUGAACGCUGGCGGCAGGCCUAACACAUGCAAGUCGAGCGGUAGCACAGAGAGCUUGCUCUCGGGUGACGAGCGGCGGACGGGUGAGUAAUGUCUGGGAAACUGCCUGAUGGAGGGGGAUAACUACUGGAAACGGUAGCUAAUACCGCAUAAUGUCGCAAGACCAAAGUGGGGGACCUUCGGGCCUCAUGCCAUCAGAUGUGCCCAGAUGGGAUUAGCUAGUAGGUGGGGUAACGGCUCACCUAGGCGACGAUCCCUAGCUGGUCUGAGAGGAUGACCAGCCACACUGGAACUGAGACACGGUCCAGACUCCUACGGGAGGCAGCAGUGGGGAAUAUUGCACAAUGGGCGCAAGCCUGAUGCAGCCAUGCCGCGUGUGUGAAGAAGGCCUUCGGGUUGUAAAGCACUUUCAGCGGGGAGGAAGGCGAUAAGGUUAAUAACCUUGUCGAUUGACGUUACCCGCAGAAGAAGCACCGGCUAACUCCGUGCCAGCAGCCGCGGUAAUACGGAGGGUGCAAGCGUUAAUCGGAAUUACUGGGCGUAAAGCGCACGCAGGCGGUCUGUCAAGUCGGAUGUGAAAUCCCCGGGCUCAACCUGGGAACUGCAUUCGAAACUGGCAGGCUAGAGUCUUGUAGAGGGGGGUAGAAUUCCAGGUGUAGCGGUGAAAUGCGUAGAGAUCUGGAGGAAUACCGGUGGCGAAGGCGGCCCCCUGGACAAAGACUGACGCUCAGGUGCGAAAGCGUGGGGAGCAAACAGGAUUAGAUACCCUGGUAGUCCACGCCGUAAACGAUGUCGAUUUGGAGGUUGUGCCCUUGAGGCGUGGCUUCCGGAGCUAACGCGUUAAAUCGACCGCCUGGGGAGUACGGCCGCAAGGUUAAAACUCAAAUGAAUUGACGGGGGCCCGCACAAGCGGUGGAGCAUGUGGUUUAAUUCGAUGCAACGCGAAGAACCUUACCUGGUCUUGACAUCCACAGAACUUUCCAGAGAUGGAUUGGUGCCUUCGGGAACUGUGAGACAGGUGCUGCAUGGCUGUCGUCAGCUCGUGUUGUGAAAUGUUGGGUUAAGUCCCGCAACGAGCGCAACCCUUAUCCUUUGUUGCCAGCGGUUAGGCCGGGAACUCAAAGGAGACUGCCAGUGAUAAACUGGAGGAAGGUGGGGAUGACGUCAAGUCAUCAUGGCCCUUACGACCAGGGCUACACACGUGCUACAAUGGCAUAUACAAAGAGAAGCGACCUCGCGAGAGCAAGCGGACCUCAUAAAGUAUGUCGUAGUCCGGAUUGGAGUCUGCAACUCGACUCCAUGAAGUCGGAAUCGCUAGUAAUCGUAGAUCAGAAUGCUACGGUGAAUACGUUCCCGGGCCUUGUACACACCGCCCGUCACACCAUGGGAGUGGGUUGCAAAAGAAGUAGGUAGCUUAACCUUCGGGAGGGCGCUUACCACUUUGUGAUUCAUGACUGGGGUGAAGUCGUAACAAGGUAACCGUAGGGGAACCUGCGGUUGGAUCACCUCCUUACCUUAAAGA